rnacentral:SRP_RNA from 1 species
GCUGGGCGUGGUGGCGUGUGCCUGUAGUCCCAGAUAUUCAGGAUGCUGAGGCUGGAGGAUCUCUUGAGCCCAGGAGUUCUGGGCUGUAGUGCGCUAUGCCAAUCGGUGUCCACAUUAAGUUCGGCAUCAAUAUGGUGACCUCCCGGGAGUGGGGGACCACAAGGUUGCCUAAGGAGGGGUGAACUGGCCCAGGUCGGAAGUGGAGCAGGUCAAAAUUCCCGUGCUGUUCAGUAGUGGGAUCGCGCCUGUGAACAGCCACUGCACUCCAGCCUGGGCAACAUAGCGAGACCCUGUCUCU